rnacentral:tRNA from 1 species
GCAGUGGUGGUUCCGUGGUAGAACUCUCGCCUUCCACGUAGGAGACCUCGGUUUGAUUUCCAGCCAAUGCA